rnacentral:misc_RNA from 1 species
AGACUACCAGCUUUUGCAUUUUGCCAAAGUGAUGCAGUAGCAGAAAUUAUUGCUAGCCAUGAAUUGGAGAUUUUAACUCUUGCAACUUUGUCAUCCAUCAAGGUACAGCUCUAAAUUUGUAACUUUAUCAUCCAUAACCAAACAUUAUUUUUAUAAUGUAAUAUUGGAUAAAACCUAAUUUUUUAAAUCAUGCUUGUGUGGUCCAGUGUGUCAGUUCAAAUAGAUAGUGCACCUUAGACAGGAGUUUCUUGCUUGAAGAUUGUAGCUCUCACCUUCCUUCGCCUUUCUCUCUUUUUCCGCAGGAUUGUUUUCUCACAGCCUAUUUGGAUAUCUUCUAAAAAUAGGAAUUUAAUUCUAUCAAAGUCUGUUUGAGUAAAUUCUUUCAUAAAUCCAAUAUAUUAUAUACCGUGUCCAUUAUGUUGAAGAAAAUGAGAAACAAACAGUUCAAAAUCGAAUGAUAAGAAAUUGAAUUUUGCAAGAAUUGGUUACAAAAGCG